UCCCUGGUGGCUCAGGCGGUAAAGCAUCUGCCUACAAUGCAGGAGACUCGGGUUCAAUCCCUGGGUUGGGAA
rfam:TPA: Bos taurus chromosome 5, whole genome shotgun sequence.